ensembl:lncRNA
GUUUUCUGUUAGAAUUAAGCUUAUGCUCUUCUUGAUUUUUAACUACAGUUCUAUUGAAUAUUCUUAUUCUUACCCAGCCAGUAAUCUACAUUGUUUUUCACAUUCAAAAUAUUAUGUAUACAAAUUACAUGAUUUUUUUUGUCAAUCAUGCUAAGCAAUAUAAAUAGGUUCUUAGAAUUUAUGACUAACAUAAUAAACCUCUUACAUGAUAGAAAGCACUAGAAAGUUCAUUUUUAAAAACUUCUGUGAUUCCUGACUCUGUUUUUAAAUGUAUGGCAUGAAGAAAAGCAAAAGUUAUGUUCAGUGAUAGUUUGAAAAACGAUUUUAGUGUUAGUCACCAUAAUCAAAUUGCCAGUGAUGUGGCAUUAUAUACACUUAGACGCAAUACCUGGAAUCUUUGCCCCAAAUUAUUCUGCUUCUCUGUCACUGUUUUUUCCUACCAUUCUUUAUAUCACUUCACAAAUGGUAAAAUUUUCUUUUCUGAAUUUAUAGUCAGAAUUGAUAUCUCUGAAAAGAAUUUUGGUUAUCUUGGAAAUGCUCAAGCAAAUAUUUAACCUGUCCACAAGGGAAAACUUUACAGUUUAAUCACCCAUAAGUGUAACUUUGGCAAAGUUCAACGACUAAGCAACUUUCUCCUAAACUAUUGUAAUAAUAUAUUUACCUAUAGUAUUAUCAGGCCUGCAGAAAGCUAUAAAUUUUAACACAGCCCCCAAAAGCUUAGUAUAUGUAGAUGAAUGUACAUGUCUAUAUACUUACACAGAUACAAAGAUCAACUAAAUUUCUCACAUGGCCAUUAUACUCUGGAGACGGUACUACUGAGAUAAGUUGCUCUCUGCUUGCUUUUUCAUAGUUGGAAAGUUUGGGAAGACAUUAACAAUACAUAUCUCUGUAAUAUAGUAAUUUUCUACUUGCCCAACAUUUAGUAUUAGUUUAUAUCUGCCGAUUAGAAACAGUCUAACCAUUAUAUUUGACAUAAGAACAGUCAUCAAAAACUAAAUUUCUUAACUCAUGAGUUGCAUGAAAAUAUAUGCAGAGGGACUGUCAUGUGGUGGACUAUGAAUGGUGGAAUUGUGAAUAUUUUCUACUUUUUCUGUUUUUUUUAAUUGAACAAUGGGUUAUUAAAAAAAAGAACGGGAAUAUGCUUUUAAAGACUUAAAAUGAACUGAACAGUAAGCACUAGGUAUAUACUAACUUUUUCUGAAGUCACUUUUAUCACGGAAGGUCAGAACUCAGUUUAGAGCUCUUUGAUCUACCAGUUCUCUUCAGUUUGUGAUUUGGUGGAGACAAAAAUAAUUGUGGCUUUUGCUGCUAGUGAUUUUAUUGUGUGAUGUAGUAUAGUGUUUAUGAACACAGGCUUUGCAGUCACUUGGAUUCUGCCCUAUUAAAUGGGGUCACUAUACCUGCCUUAUGGGGUUGCUGUAAGGGCUCAGUGAAACAGUAUUUGUAUAGCAAUUAGUAGAUAAUGGAACUGCCAGUUAUUGGUCUAGUAAUAAUAAUGAUAAUAAUUUAUGACCAUAAAACACAUGGCUUCACACUUUCUUCGCAACUGCAGUUUCUAAAGGAAACUUCCUCUACCAACUGUGUGGUAUGUUAAUACUCUCUGCAGUGCUGGGAUUCAAGAAGAGAAAUCGUUUUAUAAUAAAUAUGUUACUGUUUUAUAAACCAUGUUAUAAAGAAACAACCUACAGUUUUAAGAACUUUUUUAAGACCUGGAAUGAUGACUGAUGAGCUUCCUUUGAGAGAGUCCAGACAUACCCUAAACCAUGUUCCUGGAAUAUCCACUGAUGGUGCUUUCCCAAGCCGGAAUUCCAAGUGCCUUCAUGCAUUUCGCCUCACGAAUCAGACAGGUAGAUCUUAUGUCCGUUUUACACUGAGGAAGCAGCUUUAGAAUGUUGGCUUCAUGUCUCAAGUUCAGCACUCCCCGAGUAAUGCCUGAUGCUGGGGUGUGCCCGGGGCAGGCAGUUGCUCAGCCAGUUUUGCUGAAUGAUUGAGUGACUAGUGGGUGAUGGGUCUUUUAUUUGAACACAGAUCUCCUACUAAUUUCUAGCUCUACUCCUAGACGUAGAGUGCAAACAAACUGGGAUUAAGAGUAUUUAUUUUUGUGAAUGCUUUCUUAAGCCUUUGCAGUAUUUGAAAAAAGUUAUAAGAAUAAUAGCUAAAUCUAUUCAGUGCUAACUAUGUGCCUGGCACUUUUCUAAGUGCUUUCUGUGUAUCAGCUAAUUUAAUCCUCACAGCCACCUUAUUAGAGAGGUUCUAGUUUUCCUUAUUUCUCUGAUGAGGAAACUGAGACACAAAGAAGUGGUAAGCACUUAGACCAGCGUAAUUGAGAUCAGACAUUUAGGGCUGGCCGAACCUGGGUGCAUCUACUCAACCACCAUGCUUUUAUGCCUGCCUUUAAAAGUGUGUGUUUGUUUGUUAAGCAUAAAUCUUCCAUAGUUAUAUAUAGUAACUAAUCAACCCAAAGAACUUCAAAAGUCCUAGUAGUGAUUGUUUUUGAAGUUUAAAGUAAAUCCAUUUAAUUAAUAUCAGCUUUUUGGACUUUUCAUUAUACAUAGUUAUCCUUCAGGGUUUGGAACAGUCUGUAUAAUUGUCUCUCCCAGAAGAUUUUAUGUACCAUUCUUUCUUAAAUUCAGAUAUUAUCAAGCGUUUUUCUUGGCAGAUGGAUGUAUUAAAGAAUUAACUAGCCAUUCAGUAUUAGUUCCAACAAUGUUAUUUUAAUUGGUCUUCAGAAGGUAAUUAUAAGACCUUGUCACAAGUAUAACUGGAUUCUUAGUACAGGACUGUCUCAAACUUUUGAAAGCUUGUUCAUAUUUAAGAAAAUAACUGUUUUAAUGACCAAAGUGAGCUAUAGAAACAUAAUACUCGGCCCAUCUGUUAACACACAGAAUCAUCUGCCUACUUGAUUCAUAACUACUGCAGUAUAUAGACCUCAUCCCACCCUGCCCCCCAAGACUCAAGAUCUAUGCAGUUCUAUUCUAGUAAAGUUUUCACCAGAUCACCCUAUUAUUCCAGCUUUCGGUUCUAUUAAAAGAUAUGACGUAGAAUGCUGCCUACCGGUGAUUAUGAUUCAUGAGCAUCCAGAUACAAGAAUGUAAAUGGUUUUCAUUUAUCAUCUGCUAAUUUAAAUAUUAUUAGAAUUUGUUAAUAUUGUUAUAAAAUUCCAAAUCAGAAAUCUAUCAGGAAAUGUACAUCAACUUUAAGAGAUGGGAGUGUUACACUUUACAAGUAGAAUUAACUGUUAAUCACCAAGAUUUCCUCUUUUUUCCUCUUCUAGUGGCACAUAGUUUAUUUAAAUGAAUUCACAGUAACCAUAAAUCAUGAUUUUGUCCUGACUACUUAAAAGUGUGUCUCCACCCGCUCUUUUCCUAGCAGUAGGAUGAUAGAAAGCAUGGCCUUAAGAACUAGAGGCGGGACUAACCUCCUGUGUGUAUUCCCUGCCCUGCACAGCUUGGCCCUUUCAUGUAUUAUUAGACUGCAGGUCAGCCUAGCUGCUUUGGGCCAGGGCUGCCAGUCUGACCACAGCCUGGGAAAAGCAGAACAGGAGGCAGCGUGGUCGGCCUCUCUGACUGCAUCCCCUUUGUUUCUGAGUGUGCUGAUUUGGUUUAGUUUUUGUCAAAAGUUGGAGUUGGAAAGUGGAACCCUAGAUACCUGUGGACUCUUAGCCUAGCUAUAGUUAUUCCUUGUUUGGGAUGUCCCUUUUCCACAUUGGCGUGUCGCUCUCAAGUGGACCAAAGGACAUUUUAUUCUGUUGAAAGCCCCAUGACCAAAAGGAAAGAAUUGUAAGUACUUCCAAAUCUACCUCCUGGCCUGUACCAACCAUAUCCUGAAAAGCCCUGAACAAGCAUGGUGAAGCACUGGACAGCCACAUACUCGCAGGCAUUUUGGAACAUGUCAGGGCAUGGUACGGAUGCCUUCCCCUUAAAGGAGCAGCUUUCAGACCUGGUGUUUUUCAAUAAUACAGAAUUAAGCAAAAUUGUCAGGUUUUUUUUUUAUGAGUUAAAGGGACAGCAGAAUUUAUUGCCUUUUGCUUUUAGUAUACUGGGUUACAUAUUUAUGUUUGAAAUGAGGCCUCAUAAUAUUGAGAGGGAAAAAAAAGCAAUCCUCAAAUUUGACUAGAACCAGUUUAAAUAGUAUUUUUGAAUAUCUAGUGUGCUAUGCUCAUAAGUAUGUGUUAAGGUAUAUAGGGCAAAACAGUUGAUACAUUAUGGUAGUGAAGGGUAAAAAUAGACACAUUAAUUUCUGAAAAUGAAGAAGGGCUCAGUCUAGGAACUAUCUUCUAGUUUUAGAUUUUUGUCAUCACUAUUCUUAGUCCCACCAGAAAUGUGUUUGUUCUGUGAGCAUGUGCAGAAUGGGCUACCUGUUGUGUUCAUUACAUGUUCAGAUGCUAACAAGUGUGUGUGUGUGUGUGUGUGUGUUUGGAAUGUACUUUCUCUGUGUGCCUCUGAUGUUCAUCACCCAAAUUUACCUGUAGGAGUACACAACCACAUCCUCUCCACACUUUGGGCUUCCCUCUCUUUGAAAACAGUAGUGUCUGUAGAAGUUUCAAUGAGGAACUGUAUGGUUCCACAAAUGACAGAUAUAGUAGAUUGGUUUUGUUGUGGUAAAUUUUUUUUUCUAAAAUUCUUAAUAUUUCAGUUUCUGAAGAAGGAGAACAUUGUGCUACAUGACUUUAAAAUCAAUUUUACUCUACUUCAGGUAUAUGUUUCUAAUUAUGUUAUACAUAGGUUAAUAUUUUGUAAAAGUUUGAAGUUUUCACUGUUAGGAUGCAUUGAGAGCCAGUUUAGAAAUGCUUUAAUUGCUGUCAUUACUUUACAUGUGGAUUAUGGAUUAAUCAAAGUGUGCUGUGAUACAUAUAUAUCACAUACAUACACAUAUACAUACAUAUAUAUACACACAAUCACUUUCAAAUUGUAACAUUUCAUAAAUUUGUCAAGUUUUAAAAACUCAGACUCUUCUCCUCUUGUGUGUGCAUAAAGUUGUGGUUUUAUCUUUGAGAAUAGAGUUGGUCUGCUGUGCUGACUUCAUCUCUGUCAUUCCAAGAGUUUGAUUAUGUCUAUUUUUUCUUCAAAGAUAAAAGAUGCAAUUGAAAUCCAGUUUACAGGAUCAUGUAUUAGACUUGGUUGAGUUCUAAAAGAAUUGACUUGGUCUGCAUUUGUAAGCAUUUCAUGUAGAUAGAGUAAUAUAUUUUUGUACAACACUGUAUUUCUACAUUUAUUUCAAGUCUUUUCAGUGACUUUAAGUACAUGUGUUAAGAUGGUUUGGAAUGAGAGCGCAGUGGCCUUCAUUACCAACUCAAAAGAAGUGUAUAAUUCAUGCGGUUAUAGAAAACCAGAAUGUGUUCAGACUGUACACUGAAACCGAAUGCCUCUUUUCUAAAGCUUUGUACAUUUUUUUCAUGAAAUAGAUUAAAUAUUUUCCCUCUAAA